rnacentral:rRNA from 1 species
UACGUAGGUGGCAAGCGUUGUCCGGAUUUAUUGGGCGUAAAGAGCGUGUAGGCGGCCUGACAGGUCUGCUGUGAAAACUCGAGGCUCAACCUCGAGAUGUCGGCGGAAACCGUCUGGCUAGAGUCCGGAAGAGGAGAGUGGAAUUCCUGGUGUAGCGGUGAAAUGCGCAGAUAUCAGGAAGAACACCUAUGGCGAAGGCAGCUCUCUGGGACGGUACUGACGCUGAGACGCGAAAGCAUGGGGAGCGAACAGGG